ACGAACGCUGGCGGCAUGCCUAACACAUGCAAGUCGAACGAGACCUUCGGGUCUAGUGGCGCACGGGUGCGUAACGCGUGGGAAUCUGCCCUUCGGUUCGGAACAACAGUUAGAAAUGACUGCUAAUACCGGAUAAUGACGUAAGUCCAAAGAUUUAUCGCCGAAGGAUGAGCCCGCGUAGGAUUAGCUAGUUGGUAAGGUAAAAGCUUACCAAGGCGACGAUCCUUAGCUGGUCUGAGAGGAUGAUCAGCCACACUGGGACUGAGACACGGCCCAGACUCCUACGGGAGGCAGCAGUGGGGAAUAUUGGACAAUGGGCGAAAGCCUGAUCCAGCAAUGCCGCGUGAGUGAUGAAGGCCUUAGGGUUGUAAAGCUCUUUUACCCGGGAUGAUAAUGACAGUACCGGGAGAAUAAGCUCCGGCUAACUCCGU
rnacentral:rRNA from 1 species